rnacentral:rRNA from 1 species
GUGCUUAGCGGCUGUCGUCAGCUCGUGUUGUGAAAUGUUGGGUUAAGUCCCGCAACGAGCGCAACCCUUAUCCUUGUUUGCCAGCGAGUAAUGUCGGGAACUCCACCCAGACUGCCGGUGAUAAACCGGAGGAAGGUGGGGACGACGUCAAGUCAUCAUGGCCCUUACGAGUAGGGCUACACACGUGCUACAAUGGCGCAUACAGACCCCAGCCAACUUGCGAGAGUGAGCGAAUCCCUUUAAGUGCGUCGUAGUCCGGAUCGGAGUCUGCAACUCGACUCCGUGAAGUCGGAAUCGCUAGUAAUCGUGGAUCAGAAUGCCACGGUGAAUACGUUCCCGGGCCUUGUACACACCGCCCGUCACACCAUGGGAGUGGGCUGCUUUAGAAGUAGGUAGUUUAACCUUCGGGAGGACAUCGC